AGUAAAAGUCGUAACAAGGUCUCCGUAGGUGAACCUGCGGAGGGAUCAUUACAAGUGACCCCGGUCUAACCACCGGGAUGUUCAUAACCCUUUGUUGUCCGACUCUGUUGCCUCCGGGGCGACCCUGCCUUCGGACGGGGGCUCCGGGUGGACACUUCAAACUCUUGCGUAACUUUGCAGUCUGAGUAAAUUUAAUUAAUAAAUUAAAACUUUUAACAACGGAUCUCUUGGUUCUGGCAUCGAUGAAGAACGCAGCGAAAUGCGAUAAGUAAUGUGAAUUGCAGAAUUCAGUGAAUCAUCGAAUCUUUGAACGCACAUUGCGCCCCCUGGUAUUCCGGGGGGCAUGCCUGUUCGAGCGUCAUUUCACCACUCAAGCCUCGCUUGGUAUUGGGCAACGCGGUCCGCCGCGUGCCUCAAAUCGACCGGCUGGGUCUUCUGUCCCCUAAGCGUUGUGGAAACUAUUCGCUAAAGGGUGCUCGGGAGGCUACGCCGUAAAACAAACCCAUUUCUAAGGUUGACCUCGGAUCAGGUAGGGAUACCCGCUGAACUUAAGCAUAUCAAUAAGCGGAGGAAAAGAAACCAACAGGGAUUGCCUCAGUAACG
rnacentral:rRNA from 1 species